UACAGUAUUGCAGUUGUUAUUUUUACUA
rnacentral:piRNA from 1 species